rnacentral:rRNA from 1 species
UUGAACGCUGGCGGCAUGCCUAACACAUGCAAGUUGAACGGCAGCAUGAUGACCUGAGAAGGUGAUUGAUGGCGAGUAGCGAACGGGUGAGUAACGCGUGGGGAUAUGCCUUAGAGCUGGGGAUAGCUUGUGGAAACGCGAGGUAAUACCGAAUGAAGUCUGAGGACUAAAUGCUGGGGACCUGAGAGGGCCUGGCGCUUUAAGAGUAACCUGCGUCUGAUUAGCUAGUUGGUGGGGUAAGGGCCUACCAAGGCGAAGAUCGGUAGCUGGUCUGAGAGGACGAACAGCCACACUGGGACUGAGAGACGGCCCAGACUCCUACGGGAGGCAGCAGUGGGGAAUAUUGGACAAUGGGGCAACCCUGAUCCAGCGAUGCCGCGUGUGUGAAGAAGGCCUGCGGGUUGUAAAGCACUUUUGUUAGUGAGGAUGUUUUGGGGUGUGAAGAGCACUUUGAGAUGACGUUAGCUAAAGAAUCAGCACCGGCUAACUCCGUGCCAGCAGCCGCGGUAAUACGGAGGGUGCGAGCGUUAAUCGGAAUGACUGGGCGUAAAGGGUGCGUAGACGGUGAUAGCAUGUUAGUUUUGGAAUCCUAGGGCUUAACCUUGGGGCUGGGGCUAAGAGUGUAUGACUAGAGUAUAGGAGAGGGUAUUGGAAUUUCCGGUGUAGCGGUGAAAUGCGUAGAUAUCGGAAGGAACACCGGUGGCGAAGGCGGAUACCUGGCCUGAUACUGACGUUGAGGCACGAAAGCGUGGGGAGCAAACAGGAUUAGAUACCCUGGUAGUCUACGCUGUAAACGAUGUUAACUGGCUGUUGGUACUGUAAGAGGUGCUUGUGGCGAAGCGAACGCGUUAAGUUAACCGCCUGGGGAGUACGGUCGCAAGAUUAAAACUCAAAGGAAUUGACGGGGGCCCGCACAAGCGGUGGAGCAUGUGGUUUAAUUCGAUGCAACGCGAAGAACCUUACCUACUUUAGACGGAUAACGAACUUUGCAGAGAUGCGGAGGUGCCGAAAGGAACGUUAUGUCAGGUGCUGCAUGGCUGUCGUCAGCUCGUGUCGUGAGAUGUUGGGUUAAGUCCCGUAACGAGCGCAACCCUUGUUCUUAGUUGCCAACACGUGAAGGUGGGAACUCUAAGGAGACUGCUGGUGUCAAACCGGAGGAAGGGGGGGAUGACGUCAAGUCAUCAUGGCCUUUAUAAGUAGGGCUACACACGUGCUACAAUGGCGAGUACAGAGGGAAGCGAAUCGGAGACGAGGAGCGAAUCCUAAAAAGCUUGUCGUAGUCCGGAUUGAAGUCUGCAACUCGACUUCAUGAAGUCGGAAUCGCUAGUAAUCGCGAAUCAGCAUGUCGCGGUGAAUACGUUCCCGGGCCUUGUACACACCGCCCGUCACACCAUGGGAGUGGGUUGCACCAGAAGUUGACCGUCUAACCGCAAGGGGGACGUUAACCACGGUGUGAUUCAUGACUGGGGUG